UACGGGAGGAGCAAGCGUUGUUCGGAUUUACUGGGCGUAAAGGGCGCGUAGGCGGCCACCGCAAGUCGAUUGUGAAAUCUCCGGGCUUAACCCGGAAAGGUCAACCGAUACUGCGGGGCUAGAGUGCAGAAGGGGCAACUGGAAUUCUCGGUGUAGCGGUGAAAUGCGUAGAUAUCGAGAGGAACACCUGCGGCGAAGGCGGGUUGCUGGGCUGACACUGACGCUGAAGUGCGAAAGCUAGGGGAGCGAACGGG
rnacentral:rRNA from 1 species